UUCACAAUGAAGAGAAACCUACUCAUCAUCCUCAUCAUCACAUCAGGUGUGUUUGGUGCUGAUCAAAUUGAACCAUCAGAAGAUCAGAAGACUGAUAUUUUUGAAAAAGAGGGAGAAUCUGUUACACUGAAAUGUUCUUAUGACACAAGUAGUGAAAAUGUCUAUCUCUACUGGUACAGACAGUAUCCUAACAGAGUUCUACAGUAUUUACUGCGGAGAGGAGCUCGACGGGAGAGUUAUAGCCAUACCUCAGACAGCAGAUUUUCAUCUACUACAUCCCGGUCAUCCACUGAGCUCACUGUUAGAGAACUAAGACUGGCAGAUACAGCUCUCUACUACUGUGCUCUACUGAGCCCAGUGAUCCAAAGUCUAUGA